ACUAUUAUGACCAGGAGGAGAGGACGGAUGAUGAGACUGAGCCAACCUUCUCUGAAGAUGAGGCUCUCACUCAGAAAGGCCUGAGACGAUCACAGAGUGUCAAGAUCACACGGUCCAGAGUGCGUAAAGACGCUCGUUAUGGAUCCUUGAAGAUUAAAGGCAAGAAGAGACCAGCACUGAGCUCCGUUAAUUAUGGGCUGUGAAACGACUACUGCUGACACACUCACAGCAGACAGCCUGCUGAUUGGUGGAAGCUGUUGUCAGUCUGUGUUCCAGCUCUCCUCGGUCUGAACUCCCUCGUCUCUGAUCGUGACCUUCGUGCUGACAUAUUUAUUCCCUAACUCUUCUUAAACCAGAGACUCUCAGAGAACUUUGUCAUUGGGAUGAGUACAUCCAGAAUAUUUUUUGCAUGGAUGUUGUGUUUGUUUCAUCUGUUUUUUCUUCACUGUUGUGGUGUUUGGGAGUGAUGUUAUAUAGCUGUGGUCUUUAGAGUUAAGUUUCAUCUGUUAGUCUUUUUUAUUUGUGGUACCACUUUCAAAUAAGACAUCCUCUUUGUGCACUUCAUGAACUGUAGAACUAAUUCUUUAUUAAUUGCACAGGUAUGAGCUACUAAUAUUAGCAGGGUUUUGGGUUGCCAGGUUUCAAAGAUCGUUUUGGCUGUUUGUGAUACUUGCUGUGUGUGUCUGUCUCCAAGUAGACUGUUCUCUUGUCCUCUGGAUCAGACAUUCUAAUAAUAAUAACUUUUUAACAUGACUACAGACCUUGUGGCUUCAUAGAAGUCGGAGCCAGGAUCCUUUUGAUGUUGUUGUGGUGAUAAUAUUAGCACCGUUAGCAUUUAUCACCAUUUAAUUUUUUGGGAAAUGCCAACAUUUAGCCACUGUGCGCUCACUGUUUUUAUCGUUUCAUGCUGUGAAACACCACUGUCCUCUACCUGGUGAGGAAAGUGAAUAUUGAAUAUUGGAGUUCAAUACCUUUUAAAGGGUAAAACAAUCAUUGCAACAAUCCAAAGAUAUUUUUCAAACCUGGCAACCUAAAAGUUUUUAUUUCUGGCUUAUAAAUGUUCAACAAAGCAUUAUUAAAGGAUUGUACUACCCAUUAGGUAAAGUGACACCUUUUGUCUUUUGAGAACAUGGCACCAGUUUUGCUUCUGCUGCCUUUCAGGUAUUUUAUCAAUGAGGAACUUGUUUUAAGGACACUCUUGACACUUUGUUCAGUUUGAGUCUGUUAACUGCUCCUUGGCUUAGUAAACUAAUUGAUGCUUCUUUUGGACCUGGGUGGACUCAAUCAGGCUACACUUGCAACAUUCCCUGACACAGUGGUAACAGUAUGAGAGCCCAAGUCUCAGAGGGACACAACCUGAACUCUGCCGAUCCUUAUUGCCGUCGGAGGACGACAGUAAACACUGACAAAGAGGAGGAAUGGGAAGAGAAAACCACGUUGAUAAACACAGGGAUGAACUCCCUCUCAUUUUUAAUGCUGAUUUCUUAUUCUCCUGCUUUUUUCUCAUGUACUUUUAUAUGACUGUUCGCUUGAUCACAUCCCUGGUUGUAAAUUUCUGCCUGUAUUUCUUAGUGACAGAGGAGAUUAUCUUUUUGAAAGUUAUUUUUGUUUUGGCUUUGGAUCAAAAUGAGUCUUUUUUUGUAUUGUAACCAACUGUUUUGCACAUAUACCUCCUCCCUGAUAUUUUUUAUCAUUGCUGUUGUUGCUCGUCAUCUCAUUUUAUAAUGUACUUUGCUGUGUGUGGAUGCAGCACAGAGUGAGCUUAAAAUUCUUGAUGAUGGACACUAAUACUUGCUUAGUGUUGUAUUGUAUUUUUUUUUUUUUUUUGUAUUAAGUUUGAGAUACAGUCCUGACAAAGAGUAGAAGGUUCCUUCAAAAGUUACUGUGGUGUAGAGUCAGUCUUACAGUUUCUCUGGCAGAAACGAAUCAGUCAUUGUGCUUCUGAUUCAGCACUACGAAUGAUUUCUGUGUUCUUUGAAACUGCGGAGGUGAUACAACUGGGAGACAAAUUAAAGGAGAAGCAUGAAUUCAGUGGUGAAUUCCAGGAUGUGUUUAUAAAGUCAAAGAAUGAGGCCUGGAUUUUUUUUUUAUCACCUGCAUUAAAAUCACUGUAGGAAGGGAUUUUCUCAUGGCCAGUUUUUAAAAGAGAAGAAGUUAUCAGCCCAUUUUCAACAUACAAAUCAAUAUGCAAUUAUUGUUUUCCGCAGGGCUGUGACUUUUUAUCUACUUUUCAGAUCUUAUGAGAAUUGAAUUAUCAAGGCAUGUGCAAAAUCAAGUAAGCGUGGCAGAUAAUUUCAUAUAGUUUGUGAGAAGCAGUGUGGAGGGAUUUUAAAUUCUGGACACUUGAUGGCAUAUUUACCAAAAGUGCUAAGGAUGUUUUUUUACUGUUAAAUCUGUAGACUCACCUGCUGCUGCUGCUGCUCCUGCAGCUCAGGCACAGCAGACCAGACACACUUGUGCAAAAGACUAAUUUAAAGAACAUUUACCAAUUGAUCAUCACAUUGUUUUAAAAUGUUGGCUGGAAUUCUUUGCCAACUUAAACUUUUCUUAUAAAGUGAAAGCCCUAGUUUCAAGACGCACUUCAAAAAAAUGCAAAACCGAGUCUCAAGCACUAAUGAUAUGUCAUGCAUCAGUAUCGCUGCAUGUGGGUGUCUGUAGAGAUAUGAACAUGUGUCUGUUCCUCCCUCCAGUAGAAGUCAACACACUUGGAAGCAUCUCUGACACGAAGCACUGAAGCGUCUUGGUGGAACAGCACCUUUCUGAAGCUGUCUUUACACCUGCAUGUCUGUGUAACUGCUACAAUCCUGUUGUUUGGCAUUCAUCUGUAUUUCUGGGGCAGCCUGUGCAGAUCUCCUUCCUAUGGAGGACUGUUUAAUCCCCUGAAAGAUCUACUGUCUGCUACAUGUGACCUUGUAAGUGACAUUUUAUGUUUACCUUAGGUCUAAUCAAGCUUUAUGGAAACCAAAGCUCUGUUUUUAUUUGGGUUCGACAACAAGCCAAACUUGCUCAUGUUCUAAUGUCCAAUUCUAACAACUGACUAAUGAUACCAAAGCUUCAUGUAGUCACCCAGAGCUGUUGGGCUGGGUUGUUUGAUCGGUGGAGGUAAAAUGUCUUGGUGUGUGGCUUGCUGGAUUGUUACUGCAAUAAAAUAAAAGCUGCCCCGUCACAGCGAGGGCAACAAAUAAAGA